rnacentral:piRNA from 1 species
UAACAUCUGCCUGAAUAUUCCGGAAUGGU